rnacentral:lncRNA from 1 species
GUCAGGAGCAUGGAUGUGGAGGGUGUGAAUAGCCCUCCCGUCGGCGACGCUCUCAAAGGGAGCGCGGCUUGGCGGCAGCACCGCCAGUGACCGGGCCGGGCCGGGCCGGGCUCCGCACCUGCCGGCCGGGAGAGCUUGGCCGGGCCGGGCCGGGCCGGGCCCGCGGUCGCCCCGCUGGCGGAGUCUCAGGCACGGCGCCCCGGCCGGGCGGCCCCAGAGCCGCCGGGCCCUGACGUCUUUAAGGCAGGCUCCUCCUCUCCGCGAGGCUCCGGGGGCCGGGGCGCGGGGGCGGGGGACCCUGCGGAGGUGUUUCAUUUCCUACCGAGGGCUGCGGUGUGCCGCUGCCGAGCUCGGGAAGGGCGGCGUGGCGUGGGACGGAACGGGACGAGGCAGAAAGGAGCGGGCGCGGCUCCGGGCGCUGGCGACAGGCGGACCUCGCUUUCCCCGCGCCUGCCGCCUCGGGGCCCCGCGGAGCGGAGCGCAUCGCGGAUCCUCCGCGGACAAUCCCGCCACACCGUGUGCUUUCUCCCCCGUGUAGCCCCUGCUGGAGGAGGGAGAGACGUGGAAGGAGUGUCAGCUCGUCCAGCGAGUGAACGGCGAGGUCACAAAAUGGAUUCAGACAAACCGGAGGAUCAGAAAAAGCAGCAAGAAGAAAAUGAAGCAGGAUGAAGUUGUGUUCCAGCAGUUGUCUUAAAGGAAGGAGUCCUCCAUGUAAUUAUGGAAGAGCUGAAGGGAAGAAGUGCC